AUGGGCCAGAUUCUGAAACUUGACAUUGAAUUGAUACACAAACAUGCCGCCUUGCUUCAGGUUGCACAAUUGCUCACGCAUGCCCUUAAUGACACUUGUUGGGAUGUGAUGAGCAAAGAAGUCUUGGCAGAAGUCAUUCCAGCUAAUCACUUGACCCGCUCUGGAGUCUUCGUAUUGCUGCCACCAAUCAGCUGCCUAGUUCUUGAGCUAGAAAGAAGCAAACUUGACAUAGUCCUCAGGCCUAACAUUGCUGCACACGAAAUGCUUCUUGAUGUCCACAAGCCAAUCUUCGGCAUCCAACGGAUCAGAAUAAGAGCUGAAUGUCUUGGGCAUAUUCGCGAGGAACUGGUUGAGAGUAGCGAACUGAGGUUGAUGGCUGAGGUUUCCAUGGACUUGAUUGUUCUGGUUGUUCUGAUUGUUCUGAAACGCUUGCAUCAUCUAUAG
rnacentral:rRNA from 1 species